GGGCAGGUGGCGAAAUUGGCAGACGCACAGCGUUCAGGUCGCUGCGACCGCAAGGUCAUGAGGGUUCAAAUCCCUCCCUGCCCA
rnacentral:tRNA from 1 species